UGGGGAAUAUUGGACAAUGGGCGCAAGCCUGAUCCAGCCAUGCCGCGUGAGUGAUGAAGGCCUUAGGGUUGUAAAGCUCUUUCGCCGACGAAGAUAAUGACGGUAGUCGGAGAAGAAGCCCCGGCUAACUUCGUGCCAGCAGCCGCGGUAAUACGAAGGGGGCUAGCGUUGUUCGGAAUCACUGGGCGUAAAGCGCACGUAGGCGGAUUGUUAAGUCAGGGGUGAAAGCCUGGAGCUCAACUCCAGAACUGCCCUUGAUACUGGCAAUCUCGAGUCCGGAAGAGGUAAGUGGAACUGCGAGUGUAGAGAUGAAAUUCGUAGAUAUUCGCAAGAACACCAGUGGCGAAGGCGGCUUACUGGUCCGGUACUGACGCUGAGGUGCGAAAGCGUGGGGAGCAAAACAGGAUUAGAUACCCUGGUAGUCCACGCCGUAAACGAUGGAGGCUAGCAGUUGGCGAGCAUGCUCGUCAGUGGCGCAGCUAACGCAUUAAGCCUCCCGCCUGGGGAGUACGGUCGCAAGAUUAAAAACUUAAAGGAAUUGACGGGGUCAUAGCUGUUUCCU
rnacentral:rRNA from 1 species